rnacentral:rRNA from 1 species
AUGAUCAUAUUGUUAUUUUCAGCUUUUGGAUUUGCAUAUAAUGCUGACACCACAUGGACUCUGAAGGAAGUUGUGCUAACUGCUAAGCUUUCCCUGCUUUUCCAGCUUGUGUGUUUCAUUGAUGGAGGAGGUAUAAAUCUGUUCCUUAAAGCGAGCAAAUCAAAACAAAAACGCAGGAGGUAUCCGACAACACUGACGACCGCUACGCCAUUCCACUUAGACCUGAGGGCAACAUCAAAGGAUGCCACCGGCAGCAGAGAUCAACAAGUUCUUCACCGUCGGGGAGAAGGUACAAAAUUGGACAUCAUGUGA